CCUACGGGAGGCAGCAGUGGGGAAUCUUGCGCAAUGGGCGAAAGCCUGACGCAGCAACGCCGCGUGCGGGAUGAAGGCCUUCGGGUUGUAAACCGCUUUUACCAGGAAGGAAAAUGACAGUACCUGGAGAAUAAGGUGCGGCCAACUACGUGCCAGCAGCCGCGGUGACACGUAGGCACCAAGCGUUGUCCGGAUUUAUUGGGCGUAAAGAGCUCGUAGGCGGUUCAGUAAGUCGGGUGUGAAAACUCUGGGCUUAACCCAGAGACGCCACCCGAUACUGCUGUGACUUGAGUCCGGUAGGGGAGUGGGGAAUUCCUGGUGUAGCGGUGAAAUGCGCAGAUAUCAGGAGGAACACCAAUGGCGAAGGCACCACUCUGGGCCGAGACUGACGCUGAGGAGCGAAAGCGUGGGUAGCAAACAGGAUUAGAUACCCUGGUAGUCCACGCCGUAAACGGUGGGCACUAGGUGUGGGUUCCAACCAACGGAAUCCGCGCCGUCGCUAACGCAUUAAGUGCCCCGCCUGGGGAGUACGGCCGCAAGGUUAAAACUCAAAGGAAUUGACGG
rnacentral:rRNA from 1 species